UACGAAGGGUGCAAGCGUUACUCGGAAUUACUGGGCGUAAAGCGUGCGUAGGCGGUUUGUUAAGUCUGCUGUGAAAGCCCCGGGCUCGACCUGGGAACUGCAUUUGUGACUGCAAGGCUGGAGUGCGGCAGAGGGGGAUGGAAUUCCGCGUGUAGCAGUGAAAUGCGUAGAUAUGCGGAGGAACACCGAUGGCGAAGGCAAUCCCCUGGGCCUGCACUGACGCUCAUGCACGAAAGCGUGGGGAGCAAACAGG
rnacentral:rRNA from 1 species